GCGAUCGUGGUGUAAUGGUUAGCAUGGAUACCUGCCAAGCAUUCGACGAAGGUUCGAGUCCCUUGAAUGCA
rnacentral:tRNA from 1 species